rnacentral:piRNA from 1 species
UCGUUCAUAUUAGCUAUUAUC